rnacentral:rRNA from 1 species
GAUGAACGUUGGCGGCGUGCCUAAUACAUGCAAGUAGAACGCUGAAGGAGGAGCUUGCUCUUCUGGAUGAGUUGCGAACGGGUGAGUAACGCGUAGGUAACCUGCCUGGUAGCGGGGGAUAACUAUUGGAAACGAUAGCUAAUACCGCAUGACAACAGUUAUUGCAUGAUAACUGUUUAAAAGGGGCAACUGCUCCACUACCAGAUGGACCUGCGUUGUAUUAGCUAGUUGGUGAGGUAACGGCUCACCAAGGCGACGAUACAUAGCCGACCUGAGAGGGUGAUCGGCCACACUGGGACUGAGACACGGCCCAGACUCCUACGGGAGGCAGCAGUAGGGAAUCUUCGGCAAUGGACGGAAGUCUGACCGAGCAACGCCGCGUGAGUGAAGAAGGGUUUCGGAUCGUAAAGCUCUGUUGUAAGAGAAGAACGAGUGUGAGAGUGGAAAGUUCACACUGUGACGGUAUCUUACCAGAAAGGGACGGCUAACUACGUG